rnacentral:rRNA from 1 species
GGGGGAGCUUGCUCCCCGCUGACGAGCGGCGGACGGGUGAGUAAUGCAUAGGAAACUGCCCAGUAGUGGGGGAUAGCCCGGGGAAACCCGGAUUAAUACCGCAUACGCCCUUCGGGGGAAAGCAGGGGAUCUUCGGACCUUGCGCUAUUGGAUGUGCCUAUGUCGGAUUAGCUAGUUGGUGGGGUAAGAGCCUACCAAGGCGACGAUCCGUAGCUGGUCUGAGAGGAUGAUCAGCCACAUCGGGACUGAGACACGGCCCGAACUCCUACGGGAGGCAGCAGUGGGGAAUAUUGGACAAUGGGGGCAACCCUGAUCCAGCCAUGCCGCGUGUGUGAAGAAGGCUUUCGGGUUGUAAAGCACUUUCAGUGAGGAGGAAAACCUUACGACUAAUACUCGUGAGGCUUGACGUUACUCACAGAAGAAGCACCGGCUAACUCCGUGCCAGCAGCCGCGGUAAUACGGAGGGUGCAAGCGUUAAUCGGAAUUACUGGGCGUAAAGCGCGCGUAGGUGGUUUGAUAAGCGAGAUGUGAAAGCCCCGGGCUCAACCUGGGAACGGCAUUUCGAACUGUCAGGCUAGAGUAUGGUAGAGGAGUGUGGAAUUUCCUGUGUAGCGGUGAAAUGCGUAGAUAUAGGAAGGAACACCAGUGGCGAAGGCGGCACUCUGGACCAAUACUGACACUGAGGUGCGAAAGCGUGGGGAACAAACAGGAUUAGAUACCCUGGUAGUCCACGCUGUAAACGAUGUCAACUAGCCGUUGGGACUCUUGAAGUCUUAGUGGCGCA